UAAGUACUCCAUCCGUCCGGAAAUACUUGUCACAGAAAUGGAUAAAAAUAGAUGUACUUAGAACUAAAAUACAUCUAGAUACAUCCAUUUCUUCGACAAGUAUUUUCGGACGGAGGGAGUAGUAC
rnacentral:pre_miRNA from 1 species